rnacentral:piRNA from 1 species
UGAAAAGCUUGUCAGAUCUGUAACUGGAGU